AAUAGAUACCCGGGUAGUCCAUGCCGUAAACGUUGGGUACUAGGUGUGGGACCCCCUCAACGGGUUCCGUGCCGUAGCUAACGCAUUAAGUGCCCCGCCUGGGGAGUACGGCCGCAAGGCUAAAACUCAAAGGAAUUGACGGGGGGCCCGCACAAGCAGCGGAGCAUGUUGCUUAAUUCGAGGCAACGCGAAGAACCUUACCUGGGUUUGACAUGUACGGAAAAGCCACAGAGAUGUGGUGUCCUUUUGGGCCGUACACAGGUGGUGCAUGGUUGUCGUCAGCUCGUGUCGUGAGAUGUUGGGUUAAGUCCCGCAACGAGCGCAACCCUUGUCCUAUGUUGCCAGCGGGUUAAUGCCGGGGACUCGUAGGAGACUGCCGGGGACAACUCGGAGGAAGGUGGGGAUGACGUCAAAUCAUCAUGCCCCUUAUGUCCAGGGCUGCAAACAUGCUACAAUGGCCAGUACAAAGGGCUGCUAUACCGCGAGGUUGAGCGAAUCCCACAAAGCUGGUCUCAGUUCGGAUUGGAGUCUGCAACUCGACUCCA
rnacentral:rRNA from 1 species